AAGGCUUUAAGUUAAUAAAACUAUUAGCCUUCAAAGCUAAAAAUAAAUACUUACAUUUAAGUCUUA
rnacentral:tRNA from 1 species